CCUUGAUUCAAAGCUUCUAAGGUAUAUUGGACUAUGUGAUGUUAAGAGAGAUUCUCACCGUUUGGUUCGGGUACAAACAAGAACUAGCUAUUACAGGGAUAGGUACAAGUAUGGGGAUAAGAAAAAUAGCGUUUGGAUGAAAAUUAGAUUAUUUCCGGGGAUAAGAAAAAUAGCGUUUGGAUGGAUAAUAUGGAAUAAGAAAAAUAUUAGGUAGUUUUAUAUAGAAAAUGGAGGUAUUGGUGGGGAUACUAGUUAUGCCCGAUUAUUAUAGGUAAUCGAGAACUACUAUUCGGAUAAAAAAAUUAACGUUUGGGUAUAAAGGGGAGGAUAAGGACCUAUCCCUA
rnacentral:lncRNA from 1 species